rnacentral:rRNA from 1 species
AUUGAACGCUGGCGGCAUGCUUUACACAUGCAAGUCGAACGGCAGCACGGGGGCUUGCUCCUGGUGGCGAGUGGCGAACGGGUGAGUAAUGCACCGGAACGUACCCAGUAAUGGGGGAUAACACAUCGAAAGAUGUGCUAAUACCGCAUACGCCCUGAGGGGGAAAGGCGGGGGAUCGUAAGACCUCGCGUUAUUGGAGC